rnacentral:rRNA from 1 species
AGAGUUUGAUUCUGGCUCAGAACGAACGCUGGCGGCAGGCCUAACACAUGCAAGUCGAACGAUGUAGCAAUACAUAGUGGCGCACGGGUGAGUAACGCGUGGGAAUGUACCAUUUGGUAGGGAAUAACUCCGGGAAACUGGAGCUAAUACCGCAUACGCCCUUCGGGGGAAAGAUUUAUCGCCAAAUGAUCAGCCCGCGUGAGAUUAGAUAGUUGGUGGGGUAAUGGCCUACCAAGUCUACGAUCUCUAGCUGGUCUUAGAGGAUGACCAGCCACACUGGAACUGAGACACGGUCCAGACUCCUACGGGAGGCAGCAGUGGGGAAUAUUGGGCAAUGGGCGAAAGCCUGACCCAGCCAUGCCGCGUGAGUGAUGAAGGCUCUAGGGUUGUAAAGCUCUUUCGCCGAUGAAGAUAAUGACGGUAGUCGGAGAAGAAGCCCCGGCUAACUUCGUGCCAGCAGCCGCGGUAAUACGGAGGAUCCAAGCGUUAUCCGGAUUUAUUGGGUUUAAAGGGUGCGUAGGCGGCGUUGUAAGUCAGUGGUGAAAGUUUGCAGCUUAACUGUAAAAUUGCCAUUGAUACUGCAGUGCUUGAGUACAGAUGAGGUGGGCGGAAUGUGUCAUGUAGCGGUGAAAUGCAUAGAUAUGACACAGAACACCGAUUGCGAAGGCAGCUCACUAAACUGUAACUGACGCUGAGGCACGAAAGCGUGGGGAUCAAACAGGAUUAGAUACCCUGGUAGUCCACACCCUAAACGAUGAUUACUCGAUGUUAGCGAUAUACAGUUAGCGUCAAAGCGAAAGCGUUAAGUAAUCCACCUGGGGAGUACGCCGGCAACGGUGAAACUCAAAGGAAUUGACGGGGGCCCGCACAAGCGGAGGAGCAUGUGGUUUAAUUCGAAGCAACGCGCAGAACCUUACCACCUUUUGACAUGCCCGGACCACCAGAGAGAUCUGGCUUUCCCUUCGGGGACUGGGACACAGGUGCUGCAUGGCUGUCGUCAGCUCGUGUCGUGAGAUGUUGGGUUAAGUCCCGCAACGAGCGCAACCCACGCCAUUAGUUGCCAUCAUUUAGUUGGGCACUCUAAUGGGACCGCCGGUGGUAAGCCGGAGGAAGGUGUGGAUGACGUCAAGUCCUCAUGGCCCUUACAAGGUGGGCUACACACGUGCUACAAUGGCGACUACAGAGGGUUGCAACCCAGCGAUGGUGAGCUAAUCCCCAAAAGUCGUCUCAGUUCGGAUUGCACUCUGCAACUCGAGUGCAUGAAGUCGGAAUCGCUAGUAAUCGCGGAUCAGCAUGCCGCGGUGAAUACGUUCCCGGGCCUUGUACACACCGCCCGUCACACCAUGGGAGUUGGUUUUACCCGAAGGCGAUGCGCUAACCCGCAAGGGAGGCAGUCGACCACGGUAGGGUCAGCGACUGGGGUGAAGUCGUAACAAGGUA